CGGCCUUUCAGCUGUUGGGGAGGUAAUGGCUUACCAAGGGGACGACGGGUAGCCGGCCUGAGAGGGUGACCGGCCCCACUGGGACUGAGACCCGGCCCAGAUUCCUACGGGAGGCAGCAGUGGGGAAUAUUGCACAAUGGGCGCAAGCCUGAUGCAGCGACGCCGCGUGAGGGAUGACGGCCUUCGGGUUGUAAACCUCUUUCAGUAGGGAAGAAGCGAAAGUGACGGUACCUGCAGAAGAAGCGCCGGCUAACUACGUGCCAGCAGCCGCGGUAAUACGUAGGGCGCAAGCGUUAUCCGGAAUUAUUGGGCGUAAAGAGCUCGUAGGCGGUUUGUCGCGUCUGCCGUGAAAGUCCGGGGCUCAACUCCGGAUCUGCGGUGGGUACGGGCAGACUAGAGUGAUGUAGGGGAGACUGGAAUUCCUGGUGUAGCGGUGAAAUGCGCAGAUAUCAGGAGGAACACCGAUGGCGAAGGCAGGUCUCUGGGCAUUAACUGACGCUGAGGAGCGAAAGCAUGGGGAGCGAACAGGAUUAGAUACCCUGGUAGUCCAUGCCGUAAACGUUGGGCACUAGGUGUGGGGGACAUUCCACGUUUUCCGCGCCGUAGCUAACGCAUUAAGUGCCCCGCCUGGGGAGUACGGCCGCAAGGCUAAAACUCAAAGGAAUUGACGGGGGCCCGCACAAGCGGCGGAGCAUGCGGAUUAAUUCGAUGCAACGCGAAGAACCUUACCAAGGCUUGACAUGAACCGGAAACACCUGGAGACAGGUGCCCCGCUUGCGGUCGGUUUACAGGUGGUGCAUGGUUGUCGUCAGCUCGUGUCGUGAGAUGUUGGGUUAAGUCCCGCAACGAGCGCAACCCUCGUUCUAUGUUGCCAGCACGUGAUGGUGGGGACUCAUAGGAGACUGCCGGGGUCAACUCGGAGGAAGGUGGGGACGACGUCAAAUCAUCAUGCCCCUUAUGUCUUGGGCUUCACGCAUGCUACAAUGGCCGGUACAAAGGGUUGCGAUACUGUGAGGUGGAGCUAAUCCCAAAAAGCCGGUCUCAGUUCGGAUUGGGGUCUGCAACUCGACCCCAUGAAGUCGGAGUCGCUAGUAAUCGCAGAUCAGCAACGCUGCGGUGAAUACGUUCCCGGGCCUUGUACACACCGCCCGUCAAGUCACGAAAGUUGGUAACACCCGAAGCCGGUGGCCUAACCCCUUGUGGGAGGGAGCUGUCGAA
rnacentral:rRNA from 1 species